CAUCAGACUAUCAACUGAGGACUAUGACUUUGACAAUGCUUUUGGGGUUCUCUGCCGUAUAUGCAGGUUUUAAGUUCUGAUUUUUAAUGAAGAUGCUACUAAGCUUCCUCUGCCAUAUCCUAAAGUCGGAUAUCUUACUGUACGACCAGUACGGAAACCAAUUGCAUGUCAUAGUGAUUGGCUAUGACCAUAAUUUAUUUUGAACAAUGAAGGACUUCAACAGGUCACCAAAGGUGACGAAAAGCAAGCAGAAGAUCAGGAGAUACAGCUAUGAAAGUUAAUAUUCUAGAUAUAUGUUCUGUUACAGUUUGCCACCAGAUAUGAAAUCAAUAAAAUUUAUGGGGUAUCAAAUUUCUUGCCGCAGUUUAUCG
rnacentral:lncRNA from 1 species